GACGAACGCUGGCGGCGUGCUUAACACAUGCAAGUCGAACGAUGAAGAAAAGAAUCGAAGCUUCGGCAGAAAUUCAUUUCGGAUUAGUGGCAGACGGGUGAGUAACGCGUGAGCAACCUACCUCUUACAAAGGGAUAGCCUCGGGAAACCGGGAUUAAUACCAUAUAACAUUGUGACGAAGCAUUUCGAUGCAAUCAAAGCUACGGCGGUAAGAGAUGGGCUCGCGUCCCAUUAACCGGAUGGUGAGGUAACGGCUCACCAUAGUGACGAUGGGUAACCGGACUGAGAGGGUGAACGGUCACACUGGAACUGAGACACGGUCCAGACUCCUACGGGAGGCAGCAGUGGGGAAUAUUGCACAAUGGAGGGAACUCUGAUGCAGCGACGCCGCGUGAGUGAUGAAGGAAUUCGUUUCGUAAAACUCUGUUCUAUGGGAAGAAAAGGACUGUACCAUAGGAGAAAGCGCCGGCUAAAUACGUG
rnacentral:rRNA from 1 species